CAGUCUUCCGGGAAAUCUGACGGCUUAACCGUUAGGCUUUCGGGGGAUACUACCAGGCUUGGGACCGGGAGAGGUAAGAGGUACUACGGGGGUAGGAGUGAAAUCUUGUAAUCCUCGUGGGACCACCAGUGGCGAAGGCGUCUUACCAGAACGGGUCCGACGGUGAGGGACGAAAGCUGGGGGCACGAACCGGAUUAGAUACCCGGGUAGUCCCAGCCGUAAACUAUGCUCGCUAGGUGUCAGGGACGGUGCGACCGUUUCUGGUGCCGCAGGGAAGCCGUGAAGCGAGCCACCUGGGAAGUACGGUCGCAAGGCUGAAACUUAA
rnacentral:rRNA from 1 species